AGCAUCUCCAGCGGAAAAGCAGGGGAGUGCUUCUCUUCAGGCCUGGCAUGGAGGAGGGAGAAGACGGUUUGAAUCCUUCCCAGCAAAGGAGGCCAGUGUGCCUGGGAAAAGCUCUCAGCAUUAGCUUAUCAUCUAAAGGGGGGUGGGAUGGAGAAGAGGCAGACAAAGACAACGGAAGAAGGUACAAAAGCAAAGGUUUGUUUUGGCAUGAAUGAAAUGGAUAAGCUCCCAUUUCAAAUGGCAGAGCAAUGUCUUCAUUCUUCAAACAAAAAAGUCUCUCCAUGGAGUAACUUAAAUAAAAUGCCAGGUGUUUUUAAUGGAAACACCAUUUUUGGACAGCUAUACUAACAGACUAGCCUCAGCGUCACUGUGUUGUCCUGUCAUCUUUUUCCCACUGCUCCUGUGCUGUCGUUUAGACCAAAGCUGCCUCCAGUGACAGAGAUGCCCGCACUUGCUUGUGUGUUGGGUACCAAAUCCUGCUGCACGGCAGGAGAACGGCUGGAGCGUAUCGAUCUUGGAUUUGUCCAUCUUAAAUCCACCUGUUGUGCUCGGCUAGGGGAUAAUGCAUCAAGCAGGGAGCAUGGAAGGAUUACGCUGCCAACCAAGCUUGAAGGACCAACCUGGAUGCUGUAAAUGGCUCUGAGGAGUGGGAUUCCCUUCUUCUCUACCUCCAAGACCCAGAUCCCGGGAGAUUCGUCUGGGGCAGGCUGUCCCCACAUCCACAUAGGGCUAACACUCAGCAGCGUACAAUGCUAUUGCACAGUGUCACCCAGCCCUUCAGUUUGGUCCUGUGGUGUUUCCACCCCCCAGACACCCAGGAUGAUCAGGGGAGUGCUCCUGCCCUGCUCCCCACCUUGGGGGACCUUCUGCUUAUGCAGCAUUUUGGGGGAGCACCAUAGCGAGCCUGGGGGUUUUGUAUUGGCUAAUGUGGUUAUUUCCAGACUGCAGCAAUCUAAUGUUGCAUGGCUGAGGCUUGCAAAGAAGCAGCAAUUUAUCAACCUAUUUACUGAAGGCAGAUGGGGAACUUUUCCCUGAAACUAGUAGAAAUGAAGAAAAUACUGGGAAGGAAGGAGUGGGAGGAACUGAAACUGACUGGAAUAAUUUCUGGCCAGGCUGUUAAAUCAGCAUGCAGAAGUCCUCACAAUGAAUGCAAUUUGCCUGAACAAUACUGUGGGGCCCAGGACACAGCAGGUAGCUCUGAGCUUGGUUUUCUCUGCACUAGAUGUGCCUAGGGGUGUGCAGACACCGACCUCCAGGGUUUGGCUUCCAGUGGGUGUCUGUGCUGCUGCACCCGGGACAAAGUCAAAGCUGACCUUGUCCCUGACCAGAACUGGAAGGAGCCGUGAACCUCACUACAAGAAUAACACUUUAAACCUUCAGAAGACCUUAGUCUGGAACAAUUCAAGGAAUGUCUUCAUUUACAUUGAGCAGAAAAAGAAAAAUGAGAAUAUAAAAAUAUUGGUGCGCCUGAAAUGCAGCUUGGCAUUAUGCUGGGAGUAAGGAUGGGGCAUCCUUUUUCCUGCAGGUUGGCAGAUAUGGAUCCAGUGCAAAAUGUUUCUCGUGGAGUAGAUCUAUCAUCUUCAAGACCUGAUGUAAUUCAUGUCUAUGUAAGGGGAGACAGACUGCUAUCAGGCUGCUUUUUGUCAUUAUUUAUAGUGCUGGACGUAUAAAUCAAGCCAGGUCUCUGCAGUGGAUUUACAGCAGGAUGUCUGUUUUUGCAUGAUUCAGCUGUAGAUCAAUGAACAAGGCUUUGCUCUGGCACCUCCUUGGCCACUAUCAUAAAUCAGCAAAAGGUGUUAGACAUUUUUAUAUUGUUCUUGGCAAGAUACAAACAAAAAAAUACAUGUGCAUUUUAAUACCCUCUGCUGUACUCAGAAAGACAGCAUGACCUUUUAAAUAUAUCUGCUUUGGAGUGUUGCUUAUAAAAA